AACGAACGCUGGCGGCGCGCCUAAUACAUGCAAGUCGAGCGAGAAGACGUAGCAAUACGUUUGUAAAGCGGCGAACGGGUGAGGAAUACAUGGGUAACCUACCCUCGAGUGGGGAAUAACUAGCCGAAAGGUUAGCUAAUACCGCGUACGCUCCUUGGACUUCGGUUCAGGGAGGAAAGCGAUACCGUGGGUAUCGCGCUCUUGGAUGGGCUCAUGUCCUAUCAGCUUGUUGGUGAGGUAACGGCUCACCAAGGCUUCGACGGGUAGCUGGUCUGAGAGGACAAUCAGCCACACUGGCACUGCGACACGGGCCAGACUCCUACGGGAGGCAGCAGUAAGGAAUAUUGCGCAAUGGGCGAAAGCCUGACGCAGCGACGCCGCGUGGGGGAUGAAGGUCUUCGGAUUGUAAACCCCUUUCGGGAGGGAAGAUGGACGAGCAAUCGUUCGGACGGUACCUCCAGAAGCAGCCACGGCUAACUUCGUGCCAGCAGCCGCCGCU
rnacentral:rRNA from 1 species